ensembl:lncRNA
AGAGUAGCUGAGGAUGCUAAGGAGGCUGGGGGCUGGCCCACGGGGGGAGCAGAGGAGUCCUCAGUGCGGUCCUCACUCUGGAAACAGCAUUUUUCCCUAGGCUUGAGAAUGACUCCAGGGAUGGACUGAUCCAGGCUGGACCCACAUCUGUCCGGUGAUACCAGGGGCAGAGGGACCACUCUGACAGAAUUGCCAGUUUCCCCAGGAAGCCCAAGAUCCAGGCCAGGCGCAGUGGCUCACACCUGCAAUCCCAGCACUUUGGGAGGCCGAGGCAGUUGGAUCACCUGAGGUCAGGAGUUCAAGACCAGCCUGACCAACAUGAAAGAAUUUCUGUGGAGCCCCCAUCCAGCUGGACCUAGAAACACAAUCUUCACCAGCUCAUUCCUGCCCUGGAGUCCUGGAGCACUGGGCCACCUCUGCGCUGUCUGCUCUGGCCCGGAAUCAAGUACGCGGGGCACCAUCCCCUCCACCUGCAAACCCCACGACCCCUGACCCUCUAAGUCAUUCUGCAGCCCACCAGUCACAACCUAGCGAUGGAGGGUGCAAGGCCAGAGACUCCCAGCUCCUUUUCCUCAGGUAUUCCUGCCUGGCCACCUCUCAGCACUCCUUGGAGCCCGAGUUCUUGCAAGUCAGACUUUCUAGGAGUGGAACCUGACCUUGGCCUUCUUCUCUAACCAUCUGCUCCGCCUUUUCUUUGCCAUCACCCUCAUGUGAUCCAGGGCAGCAGCUUUCUCGUUGUAUUGACUGGAACCUACAGUAAGAAAUGCAUCUGACAUCUUGACUUCACACACACUCACACCUAGGAAUGGAACCAAAGCCUGGGGGAGGAACACCCGCCCUUACUACAGGGAGUGCAGCCUGACACCGUCUUUCUGUUCUAUUUUAAAAUUUAAUUUAAUUAAUGUAUUUAUUUUGAACCAGACCUGGGUGACAGAGCGAGACUCCAUCUGAAGAAAGAAAGACAGAAAGAAAGUGAGAGAGAGAGGGGAAGGAAGGAAGGAAGGAAGGAAGGAAGGAAGGAAGGAAGGAAGGAAGGAAGGAAGGAAGGCAGGCAGGCAGGCAGGGAGGGAGGGAGAGAGGGAAGGAGGGAGGGAGGGAAGGAGGGAGGAAGGGGAAGGAAAGAAAAACUCUUCUAGAGCAGAAACAUCCAAUCCUGCAAAGCCCAAAGAUGCCGUUGUAGAAUAUAACUAGGAUAGCUCAAAAACUCACAUUUUCUGAGGGUGCCCUCUGUGUCAGGCACAGUUAUAAGCGUUUUACAUAUAUUAAUUCAUUUAAUCCCAACAACAGUUCUGAAAGUUGAGCACCAUUAUUAGUGUCCCCAGGCUACAGAUGAGGAAGCAGACGCGCAGAGAGGUUAAGUCACCUAAGGUCACACAGCUCCACAGUGGCAGGGCCAGGCAGUCUGGUUCCAAAGAAGGUGCUCUUAACCCCCAAGCUUCACCACACUUUUCCUGGCCAAAGCAAAAGGGUAAAGACUUGAGCUGGGCAGUUUCUGCCUCGCCUGGAAGGAAAAGACCCACACCCAGCAAAGCGGGCUUCCUGCCAGGAUGGGGCAUGGAGGCAGGUGUCUGGAGUCCCUUGUGCAGGGGCUGAAGUGGCCUUUCUCAAACUUGCAGCCCCCACUACAUGGGUGCUCAGAAUGGCUGCCCUGCAAUAACCCUUCUUGUGGGCAUGCGUGGGUGGUGGUGGUGGUGAAGCCACUCCGGGUUGAGCAGAGCAAAAAUGUUUGCAGUGUUUGUGAGAAGAAGCUGUGAGUUGCUUGGCUUUUGGAGGGGAAGUUCUGCAGGGACGUUCUGCAGGACAGGGUUACGGGAAAGAAGAAAGCCUGGGCUGGAGUGGUGGCUCACGCCUGGAAUCCCAGCAUUUUGGGAGGCUCACUCAGGAGGAUCACCUGAGGUCAGGAGUUUGAGACCAGCCUGGCCAACAUGGUGAAACCCUGUCUCUGCUAAAAAUACAAACUUAGCUGGGUGUGGUGGCGGGCGCCUGUAGGUAGUUACAGCUACUUGGGAGGCUGAGGCAGGAGAAUUGCUUGAACCCAGGAAGCGGAGGUUGCAGUGAGCCGAGAUCUCACCACUGCAUUCCAGCCUGGGUGAUGAGGAAGACUCCAUCUCAAAUAAAUAAAUAAACAAAUAAAUAAAGUUAACCU